AGAAGUUCGACUUCUUACAUAUUUAAUGAGUUUUAAAUGUUUUAAAAAGACAGUAUAUUGGAGAAAAAUACUGAAAAGUAAAGUACUAAUUAGAACUCUUGUGGUGAUAAUUAUUUCCACAACAGUUUUAUAUAUUUUUCUUUUGUUUGCUAUCUUAUUGUGUUAUUUUCUAUAUGCCUCAUAAUAGAAAAGAAAACUUAAUUUCUGUUAAAAAAAAAAGAAGUUAAUUUGAGAACACAUUGAAUCUUAAAAUAAAGAGAUAGGCAGAAAGUGCAUAAAGACUAUGUCGGUAUCCUGGUCCAACAUAAAAAUAAAACCAAUAAAUAAAACAAAACGAAGUUGAUAUCUAGUCAUUGGCUUAGCCUCUUAUCUACGAUGAAUGGUUUCUACUUGAAGUGGAGUAGAGGCAAGUCGAUAAACAGGCCCAGCUUUGGACCUGUCUGUAGUCUAGGACACACUUAAAAGUUACCUAGCUACGACUUCCAUGCUCGACAUGCACAGAUUGUCUGAAAACUAGACCCUACCCACUAGAUGAACAGCAAAUAUUGCCUUGAUAUUUUAAUCAGCCAAACCGUGUGGGGUCAUUUUCUGAGUUUCAUAUGCAUACAUUCUGCAGGCCAAUUUGCCUAAGCUCGUGUAGGAGAUUGAAGUUGAUCACCUCUCAGUGUGGACCAGAUCUCGCAACUUCAACUGGUCACUUGAGUUAGGAAAGAAGGAGCUGCCAUUUACAUAUACCAUGCAUCAAAGGGAACUUGAAAGACAUUUGCAAAGUGCAUCUAUAUAUGAACGUUCUCCAUACAUAGUGGGAGUUGCCAUCGGUCGACAGAAGGAGCUGCCAUUUGAGACUAACAACAUACCAUGCAUCAAAGGGAACUUGAAAGACAUUUGCAAAGUGCAUCUAUAUAUGAACGUUCUCCAUACAUAGUGGGAGUUGCCAUCGGUCGACAGAAGGAGCUGCCAUUUGAGACUAACAGCAUACCAUGCAUCAAAGGGAACUUGAAAGACAUUUGCAAAGUGCAUCUAUGAACGUUCUCGAUACAUAGUGGGAGUUGCCAUCGGUCACUGUCUUUCUUAUUGCACUCCUGUUAACACUUUUUUGCCCAGCAGACGGCAUGGUCCAUCUUCCUUUCUUUCUUUUAUUAAGGAAAGUCCACCAUUUUGAUGUACCUACAAAUGGGAUUAUAGGCUACUGAUCAUAUAAAUCCAUAGGAGGAUCAAGUAUUAUCCGUUGAGCAUCAUAA